UACGGAGGAUCCAAGCGUUAUCCGGAUUUAUUGGGUUUAAAGGGUGCGUAGGCGGAUUGAUAAGUUAGAGGUGAAAUGUCCGAGCUCAACUCGGGAACUGCCUCUAAUACUGUUGAUCUAGAGAGUAGAUGCGGUAGGCGGAACGUAUGGUGUAGCGGUGAAAUGCUUAGAGAUCAUACAGAACACCGACUGCGAAGGCAGCUUACCAAUCUAUAUCUGACGUUGAGGCACGAAAGCGUGGGGAGCAAACAGG
rnacentral:rRNA from 1 species